UACAGAGGGUGCGAGCGUUAAUCGGAAUUACUGGGCGUAAAGCGCACGUAGGUGGCUUCGCAAGUCGAUUGUGAAAUCCCCGGGCUUAACCUGGGAACUGCAGUCGAGACUGCUCUGCUUGAGUAUGGGAGAGGGAGGUGGAAUUUCCGGUGUAGCGGUGAAAUGCGUAGAUAUCGGAAGGAACAUCAGUGGCGAAGGCGACCUCCUGGACCAAUACUGACACUCAAGUGCGAAAGCGUGGGGAGCAAACAGG
rnacentral:rRNA from 1 species